AUUUUUAUAUCAUAUAUGUCCACACAAAGGAUGUUGAUGAAUGAAGAUAGGGUUGGCUUGUUGUGUGGACAUAAAUAUCCUUUAUAAAUCACCAUCAUCUACACAUAACCCACAAAUUGUUUUUCUUAUUUGUUGUAGACCUUUUCACUUUUAGGAGACUGUCGGGCUUGAGAUCUUUGUGAGACUCGAAGAAAGUAAAGAUCUAUCCAUCAUUCUCUAUAACAAAAUAUAGAUUGGAUCAUUGUGAGCAAAUAUUUAUAAAUAAGCAGAUAAGUGAUGACAUUGGAUUUCUUUAUCAUCGAUCUAUCUAUUAUAUUUUCGACCAUGAUUUCACCGUUUAAAACGAAAGCCCAAUUAGAUAUCAGCUUUGAAAACCUAAAAGAGAGGUGGUUUUGAAGGCAGUCAUGGCGGACAAUCGGCCCAAUUCACUUGGAACCGGCGGAGUAUCUACUAGAUCAAUGACUCUUAAAGGAAAAGGAAGAACAGGCCAAAAUCGAGUGGAAAAUGCCUUUCACCGAUUCUGAUUUAAUUGAAGGACCAUCUACUCGUGAGGAAAUACUGCUAGCCCGGAUAAAUAUAUAUGGGCUCAAGGAGGAUCCAAUGCCUACUGAUGAUGAUGAAGACGUGUCCCAUGGCGGAAACACUCAGUUCUAUGCUCUGGCGAAACUGAUAUUAAAAACACAAUAGAAACACAAAAUUGUGAGGAAGAUAGUCAAUGACGAGCUUGUGGAGCACCAAAUAGAAUUUAAGACAAAAUUCCGCUCAUUUUAUGGGGAGGAAAGCUACGAGGACUAUUGUGAAUCACUUUCCCUGCUUGGCUAUGAGGGGGAUCUAGUUUCUCUUUAAGCUGCAUCUAAUGUGUUUAAUGUGAAACUCAUGUUGAUAAACAUUGAUGAGAAAUUUAUGUUGGAGUUUAUCCCUGUGGACACUAAGUAUACAAAAGAGUACCUAAUGGCCUAUUUGCCUCCUAGUACUUUUAAGGUAGUUAUUGUUCCAGGAGAGCAACGUUGAACUCAACCUAAGAGAGAAAAAAGAAUAUGAUGUCCAUAACCAACCGUAUUCAGGUAGUAUACUUACCUUGACUUUUAAAUAGUGCUUGUAACUCUUUCUAGUGUUAUUCCAUCACUCUUUAGUCUUGAAAUAUGAAGAAAUCAUACUUGUUUAUUAUCAUAUGCGGAAUUAUUUAGGAAAAUUUGAACAUUGCAUAUUAAGAAGAAUUUUGUGGUUCUCUUCCUUUGUAAUAUGACUUGAAAGAAGAGAAAAAAAAAAAAAAGCUGAUACAUCAGCAAGAAAGAGACACAAGCAAGAAAGAAGAAAAAGUUGUGUUACCAAUAAGAAAGAAGCAGCAGCAUUUAGAAUGACAAGAUGAGUAUGAAGGCUGGUCAUUGAUCGGGAAGAAAGAAAGAGAAAGACCAAGACCGAAAGUGUGAGCCAAAGACCGCAAAGUUCACAUUAGACCAAAACGUGAACCCAAGAUUGAAUGUGUUCACAUCAGAAUUGAAAGAGAAAGUAAACUGAUCAAAAUCAGUUAGAAAGAAAGAGGACGGUGUAACAUGAAAGAAAGACAAAGCAUCGAUCCAAAAGAAAGAAAAACGAACCCAUGUGGUUUGUAUAGCAAGAGCCAGGUCAUGUGUGACUCGUAGCAAGCAGCAAGACCAGACCUUUAUGGUUUGUGUAGCAAGAAGCAAGAAACCGAAACAGCAAGAUAGCAAGAAUGAAGGUUCGGGUAGCAAGUUUAUAGCAAGCAUGAAACGGGUAGCAAGUACCCUGUUAAUUAAAGCAAGAAGAUUCAAAGAAAGCAAGCAAGAAUGGAUUCGAAUCAAAGCAAGUUAGCAAGAGUAGUAAGGAAAACCGAUUUUGGUUUAGCAUGGAUAGCAAGAAUGAAUGCAAGCAAGAAUCGAGCAACUAGCAAGAACCUAAUCAAGAUUAAGGGGGUGAAUGUAGGAUUUAAUAUUGAUUUUUAGUUAGUUAGUUUUAAGUCAUGUUUAUUAUUGGUUAUUAGCAUGUGAGUUUAAUAAGUAAUAGGUAGAAUAAGUCCUUUAAUUGACCAAGUAAUUAGGAAGAAAAUACUUGGAGAUCAUGGGCUAGAAGAUAACGUGGGUUAGUUGUUGCUAAAAAGGAGGAGCACGUUAACUAAAAGAAUACAACACGAUUUUCUUUUCA